rnacentral:rRNA from 1 species
GCAAGUCGUACGAACCUUCGGGUUAGUGGCGCACGGGUGAGUAACAUGUGGGAACCUACCCUUCGGUGCGGAAUAACAGUUGGAAACGACUGCUAAUACCGCAUAAUGACUCCGGUCCAAAGAUUUAUCGCCGAGGGAUGGGCCCGCACUUGAUUAGGUAGUUGGUAGGGUAAAAGCCUACCAAGCCUACGAUCAAUAGCUGGUUUGAGAGGAUGACC